AGCUCAGGGGUAGAGCGCUCGCUUUGCAUGCGAGAAGUCUGGGGUUCGAUUCCCCA
rnacentral:tRNA from 1 species